GCGGAGCUGCCCGGCACGUCAGGCGAGUCAUCCCCUGGGCCGAUAAGCACUUCCUAAGGGAGCUGGCUCUGUUGUGGCCCUGGUCACAUUAUCCGGCGCCCACCUGCACACGCAGGUCCUGGAGGUUGAAAGACCAACGGCCAUGGCGGCUUCGCA
rfam:Acetobacter orleanensis JCM 7639 DNA, contig: Abol_002.